AAGAGAUUAAGUAAUAAAAUAGCUGCUAACUAAUUUUAUAAGCGGUUAAAUUCCGUUUAUCUCUUU
rnacentral:tRNA from 1 species